UGCUGUAUGUGACAAAAAAUUUUUUGGCCUAAAAACCUUUAAUUUUGACAACUUUAUUUAUUCAUUAUAAACGUUGUAGUAGUACAAACUUCUUUUGAAGUUGUAUUAUUGUUCAUUAAAUCUAACAUGUAAGCAAUAUAUUUCAUCAAGGGACUGCUGAGGAAAUUUGCGCUCUGAUUGAGUGGCGGACGGCCAAAGAGAGCCUUUUUACUGGGAGGCGCAACUCCUCCAAAUGUGGAUGGGAGCACUUUGUGUCCAUUUCUGGUUUGGCUAUAACUGCCAAACAAGCCAAAAAGAAAUGGAAUAACCUCAAAGACAAAUACAAGCAGUCAGUAUUCUGAGUCUGAGUUCCAGCCCCAGUCCAGAGACCCGAACUUGUUUCCUGCUGUCGGUUCAGUCGAACUGUGAGUCGUCUGGCGUGGUCGCUUCUAUCUGCCAGCACGGACCGUUUCCAUCUGCUUGUACUUCACUCCAGUGGGACUACAGUUGAGGACCUGUGACUCGAGAAGCCACUGUUUAUUCUUUUGUUCUCCAGCUGCAGUGUGCCUGCUUCUUCACGUCUGGCAGUCUGUUUCUGUUUUUCCUGGAACUCUAAUAAACUAUUUGCAAACUCCUUUCGCCUCUGGGUCUUCUAGGCUCACCUGACAUGAACAGCUUUCUGAGCAAAAUGAACU